rnacentral:rRNA from 1 species
GACGAACGCUGGCGGCGUGCUUAACACAUGCAAGUCGAGCGGUAAGGCCCUUUCGGGGUACGACGAGCGGCGAACGGGUGAGUAACACGUGGGUGACCUGCCCUCAGCUCUGGGAGUAAGCCUGGGAAACCGGGUACUAAUACUGGAUAUGACUCCAUGACGCAUGUUGUGGGGUGGAAAGCCUUGUGCGGCUGAGGAUGGGCCCGCGGCCUAUCAGCUUGUUGGUGGGGUGAGGCCUACCAAGGCGACGACGGGUAGCCGGCCUGAGAGGGCGACCGGCCACACUGGGACUGAGAC